rnacentral:lncRNA from 1 species
AUUUUUAUUUAAUAAAAAUUAAAAAAAAUUUUUUUUCAUCAGAAAUUUUUAGAUAAGGAGAUGGAAAUCUUUAGAUAUGCCAGAUCCGCUUAGAGAUGAAGUAUUUAUUUAUAACAAUAAACGACGCAAAAAAAAUUUGAAUCCACCAGGCAAACCUAUCCGAUCCGCGGGGUGGCGAGACUUACCGAACCGGUCUAACAACUCCCACGUACUUUUUCUGCUGCCAGUCUGCCGUCUUUUCAGACUGGUCUCUUUUUCUAACCCUUUCAUCCGAUACUUUUUUCUCUCGGGUUCUCUCUCAGGUUGACGUUCUUUAUUUCUUACCUCUACGCCACCGUAUUUUGUAUUCUCGGGAUACUCGCAACAAUGUCAUCGAUCUCGAAGACAUUGUUAAAAGCAUAAAAUAAAAUUACUAUAAGGUAGCUUAUUUUUUUUCCUAAACAGGCAUCGAAGUCGAGUAGUAUUAUGAUCAUU